CGAUCAUCCCUCCAUCCUAUUCAUCUAUCUGAAUACAAUUCCCAGCGCAGCGUUAUCCUAUUUGGGCAUCAUGAUCUUGAUCCCGUCUCCCAGGUGUUAGUCACGACUCGCUGUGAUUUGCUCCACUGCAUUGGUUCGAUAUCUUCCAAACAGAUUUCUCCCAUUGUAAUGGCUGACCAAGUUCCCAUGCGGCUUGUCCUGGAACUCAAUGUCCGGUGUGGAGCCAUCAGGAAGACUCCUGACAUCAAACAGGGGGUCACGAUGAUCUAACUCCUUCCUGAGAGAAUCAACGUUUUCGAAAAUCCCACCCUCCAGUUUGACUACUUCAAGUUCAGUUCCGCGGAGACGGUUGCAAAGGUUCGCGAAGGGGAAUGGCUGGCUCUCAGGCAGUAGACAGUCUCGUCAAUGGUUCUGUUAUAAGGGACGGAGAGAAGAUAGUGUUUAGCAGAACGAAAGAAGGAGACGAGAGGCGGAGAGAACGGGGGAAUCGGGGUGGUGAAAUUAGUCGAGGAGAAGAGGAAGAACAGAGAAACAGAGAAGGGAAGAGGAAAUUGGAUUAGAAGAGGGCCUCGGAAGAUCACAGUCGAAGGAAGAAAGAGGAAAAGGGUGCUCGAGGGAGGAGAAAGAUUGGUCAGUUGUAC
rnacentral:sRNA from 1 species